ACUGGCCCCAUUCAUGGAGGAUGCAGGAAGUUCAGGAGGUAUUAUGUGGCCCCAGAAGAGAGGUAGGCAGCAUCUACCAAUUUGUCGUUGUGAAAAGUGAGGAUGUGUGGAGGACUCAGGAGGCAAUGAGUUUGCGUUGGUCUGGGAAGGGGAAAUGUGAAAGAGAAUGAGAAAUAUCAGAGGAGAGCUCCAGAUGUGUGGUCUACGGGAGCAAAUGUGUGGUAGUGCCAUUCCCCACAGGAGGACUAGGUUUAGAAGUUGGAUAACAUCAUAACUUUGUUUUGGACAUAGUGAGUCUUUGAGAAAACCAGCAGUAAAUGACCAAGUAAUAACUACAUUUAAGCAGUUAUUUCAUAGCUUGGCUUUUAUUGUGCCCCAACAAGGUUCUCAGCUAGUUUCUCCAAUGCUCAAAAUAUGAAGGCAGAUAUUAUUUCCCCCAGUUUAUGGAUGAGAAAACCAGGCUUAAGGAGGUUAAAUUCUUUGCUUACCUUCAGGACUAAAAACUCAGACAUUUUAACCCUGCUGGAGAUCUUUCUCCUGUGUGCUAUGGUAAUCUAGGCAUCACAGAUGUCUCAAAGAAACCUGUAGAAGAGUGAAUUUUUUUCUGUUAUAAGGUCUUGUUUCAUUUGGGGAAAAUAUGGGCUUUGUCUCUUUGGAUUCGAGAGCAGGCUCAUGUGAGUUUCAGUUAAUCAACUAAUCAGCACUCACUGAGAAAUUAUCAUAUAUUUAGAAUUUUGCUGCCCAUUAUAAAAAGAUUAUGAAUAGUAUAAGACGAUCCUUGAUUCAAGGGUUUAAAAAUUAGGAGAGGGAGCAAAUAAAUACAGGAAACAUGAGUGAUAAUGGGCUGAUAGAACAGCUUGAGGAAAGGACAGAUAAAUAAGUCUUAUUUAGGGGAGACCUACAUGGUGUGUACAAAAGGAAUUAAAAAAAAAAGAGAGAUACUGUGCUGAUGGGCUAAGAAAUUUCAGUAACUGAAUGCUGGUCUGUGGAUUGGAUGUCUCCGUCCCAGAAAAUUUCUUAAGUGUGCAAUUAAUUACAAUUAGCUAAAUGAAGUAUGUGUUAAAUGGUCUGAAAAUUGAAGCUACUGGGAACCUAUUUUAUUUAACAUUUAUUUUUCAGAUUCCUGCAAUCAAGAGUGGUUUUCUUUUUUGAUAGACAAGGGACAGCAAUCUGUUCACAUUUUUGCUGAAGGAAAAGCUGAUAUUGUGACUGUGUUUAAAUCUGAUAGAAUCUAAAUCCUUAUCCCACUAAUGAAAAAUAUCAUCAACAAAUCUUAGUCUAAGAUCUUUGAGCUUCCAAAAA
rnacentral:lncRNA from 1 species